GACGAACGCUGGCGGCGUGCUUAACACAUGCAAGUCGUACGGUAAGGCCCUUUCGGGGGUACACGAGUGGCGAACGGGUGAGUAACACGCGAGUAACCUGCCCACCACUUUGGGAUAACGCUAGGAAACUGGUGCUAAUACUGGAUAUGUGCUUCUGCUGCAUGGUGGGGGUUGGUAAGCUCCGGCGGUUGUGGAUGGACUCGCGGCCUAUCAGCUUGUUGGUGGGGUAGUGGCCUACCAAGGCGGCGACGGGUAGCCGGCCUGAGAGGGUGACCGGCCACAUUGGGACUGAGAUACGGCCCAGGCUCCGACGGGGGGCAGCAGUGGGGAAUAUUGAACAAUGGGCGCAAGCCUGAUGCAGCAACGCCGCGUGCGGGAUGACGGCCUUCGGGUUGUAAACCGCUUUCAGCAGGGACGAAGCUUUUUGUGACGGUACCUGCAGAAGAAGCACCGGCUAACUACGUG
rnacentral:rRNA from 1 species